rnacentral:ribozyme from 1 species
CCGUCGUUGACUGUGCAGCAGCUAGUGCCGCCGGUCGAGCGAGUGCCGUUGCCUCCUGGACAGUACGGCUAUGUGGCCACUGGACCUCGUUCAUCGUGCGCUAUUGAAGAGAAUGCGCGCGCGCUGUAUUGUUGGGGCACUGGCAGC